UACAGAGGUGGCAAGCGUUGUUCGGAAUUACUGGGCGUAAAGGGCGCGUAGGCGGCCUACUAAGUCAGACGUGAAAUCCCCCGGCUUAACCUGGGAACUGCGUCUGAUACUGGAAGGCUUGAGGAUGGGAGAGGGAUGUAGAAUUCCCGGUGUAGCGGUGAAGUGCGCAGAUAUCGGGAGGAACACCAAUGGCGAAGGCAGCUCGCUGGGACGUUACUGACGCUGAGACGCGAAAGCGUGGGGAGCAACAGG
rnacentral:rRNA from 1 species